rnacentral:rRNA from 1 species
GAUGAACGCUGGCGGCGUGCCUAAUACAUGCAAGUCGAGCGAACAGACGAGGAGCUUGCUCCUCUGACGUUAGCGGCGGACGGGUGAGUAACACGUGGAUAACCUACCUAUAAGACUGGGAUAACUUCGGGAAACCGGAGCUAAUACCGGAUAAUAUGUUGAACCGCAUGGUUCAACAGUGAAAGACGGUCUUGCUGUCACUUAUAGAUGGAUCCGCGCCGCAUUAGCUAGUUGGUAAGGUAACGGCUUACCAAGGCAACGAUGCGUAGCCGACCUGAGAGGGUGAUCGGCCACACUGGAACUGAGACACGGUCCAGACUCCUACGGGAGGCAGCAGUAGGGAAUCUUCCGCAAUGGGCGAAAGCCUGACGGAGCAACGCCGCGUGAGUGAAGAAGGUCUUCGGAUCGUAAAACUCUGUUAUUAGGGAAGAACAAAUGUGUAAGUAACUAUGCACGUCUUGACGGUACCUAAUCAGAAAGCCACGGCUAACUACGUG